rnacentral:rRNA from 1 species
UACGUAGGGUGCGAGCGUUAAUCGGAAUUACUGGGCGUAAAGGGCGCGUAGGCGGCCCGCUAAGUCAGACGUGAAAUCCCUCGGCUCAACCGGGGAACUGCGUCUGAUACUGGCAGGCUUGAAUCCGGGAGAGGGAUGUGGAAUUCCAGGUGUAGCGGUGAAAUGCGUAGAUAUCUGGAGGAACACCGGUGGCGAAGGCGGCAUCCUGGACCGGUAUUGACGCUGAGGCGCGAAAGCCAGGGGAGCAACGGG